rnacentral:rRNA from 1 species
ACGGAGGGUGCGAGCGUUAUUCGGAAUCACUGGGCGUAAAGCGCGCGUAGGCGGGGGUGUAAGUCAGAUGUGAAAUCCCUGGGCUUAACUUCGGAAGUGCAUUUGAAACUGCAUGUCUUGAGUAUUGUAGAGGAGGAGGGAAUUCCCGGUGUAGAGGUGAAAUUCGUAGAGAUCGGGAGGAAUACCAGAGGCGUAGGCGCCCUUCUGGGCGAUUACUGACGCUGAGACGCGAAAGCGUGGGGAGCAAACAG